CCUACGGGUGGGCAGCAGUGGGGAAUAUUGCACAAUGGGGGAAACCCUGAUGCAGCGACGCCGCGUGAGUGAAGAAGUAAUUCGUUAUGUAAAGCUCUAUCAGCAGGGAAGAAAAUGACGGUACCUGAGUAAGAAGCCCCGGCUAACUACGUGCCAGCAGCCGCGGGACUACGUAGGGGGCACGCGUUAUCCGGAUUUACUGGGUGUAAAGGGAGCGUAGACGGCGGUGCAAGUCUGGAGGGAAAGGUGGGGGCUCAACCCCCGGACUGCUCUGGAAACUGUACGGCUGGAGUGCAGGAGAGGUAAGCGGAAUGCGUGGUGUAGCGGUGAAAUGCGUAGAUAUUAGGAGGAACACCGAUGGCGAAGGCAGCUUACUGGACUGUAACUGACGUUGAGGCUCGAAAGCGUGGGGAGCAAACAGGAUUAGAUACCCGUGUAGUC
rnacentral:rRNA from 1 species